rnacentral:rRNA from 1 species
UACGGGGGGGGCAAGCGUUGUUCGGAAUUACUGGGCGUAAAGGGCUCGUAGGCGGCCAACUAAGUCCGACGUGAAAUCCCCAGGCUCAACCUGGGAACUGCGUCGGAUACUGGAUGGCUUGAAUUCGGGAGAGGGAUGCAGAAUUCCAGGUGUAGCGGUGAAAUGCGUAGAUAUCUGGAGGAAUACCGGUGGCGAAGGCGGCAUCCUGGACCGACACUGACGCUGAGGAGCGAAAGCUAGGGGAGCAAACGGGA